rnacentral:lncRNA from 1 species
AUGUGGUUUGUGAGUAGAACCAGCCUUGGAAGGCAGCCCCAGCCUUGCCUGAGUUCCCGGAAUUUCCUCACACCAAACCCAGAAGGCCUUUGCUUUUUGCAUUCAGCCACAGGAACAGCUGCAUCUGAUCCAAACCAGCCUCGGGAGACUGGGACCAGCCAGGUAGGAAGCUGCCAGCCUGGUGCUGGGCCCUGGAGCUCAGGGCAAUGCUGAGCCAGCAGAAGCUGGCCCCGGGGUUGUGGAAUGGUGUUGAUCCAGCCUAUGAAGUGGCUUCUGGAGUAGCGCCGGGAGCUUAAGAGAAUCCUCUGACUAACCUGCCCAGGCUCCAGGGUGGUUGUUUCCUGGGUAAUUCUGGGUCCUUAUUCAUCGUAGCUUUGAGUGUGUGCUUUAGAUUUGACCACCUCCUCUCCUACCCUUUCACUUCCAGUAAUGAUCAUAUGAUGUCAUCACUAAUGAUGAUAAUUGUUCUGUUUUACUUGCAGAAACACAAGUGCACUAUGGGGUGAACAAUAGUUAACAAUAGUUAUCAUUUUAGUGAUGAGGCAAGGGAGUCACACAGAAGUUAGACAACCUGACAUCUGGGAAAGGGUGUCAGGGCAGGGAAACUUGCCUUGAACCUGCACCCCAGAACAGGCCACCCCACUCUGGGCAUCAGAAGGUAGCUGGGCUGGAAGGGAAAUGCUAGAUGCAGGGGAGGGAAGAGAGAGAGAGGGAGAUACAGAAUCUGAAGCAGGCUCCAGGCUCUGAGCUGUCAGCACAGAGCCUGAUGUGGGGCUCAAACUCGGGAACCAUGAGAUCAUGAUCUGAGCGGAAGUCAGAGACUUAACUGGCUAAGUCAUCCAGAUGCCCUUAGAAGUUGCGUUUCACAUAAGUACCUUAGGCAAUUGUUUACAGGAGCUUGGAGGUUUGUAUGAAAUAACAUUUCUGCAUAUUUCCCUGGGAGGUCUAUCAGUAUGCCUUUAUUGUUUUCUUUUACAAGAGCUCCUGGAACACACAGACACCACAUCCAGAGUCAGUGUCAGAGGGUAAAUUGGUCUGGGGAGCCAUGAUUUAUCACUGUAGUCCUAAUACCCGCCCCCUUAAAUGCUCAAGAUCAGAUGCUUAAAUUUUGUAUAGCCCAUGAACUUCUCUUCCACACAUAAACCCACACCCCAAGUUCCCACUGGAGUUAAGACUCUACCCCCUUUUCCUAGCUGUGGAAACAACCCUGGGUGGAGCAAGAAUCAACUUCCCAACUUAGGAAGAUCAUUGGCUUCAUUUGAUAACAAUCUAAAGACCAUAGAAAAGAUGCUUUAUAGUGGAAUUAGGUAAGACUGGCAAAAACUGGCUUUCCUAUCCUAAAUCAUUUUGGAGGGUGUGUCUAUUGAGUUUUGGAGGUUUUUUUUUUUUUUUUAAGGAAAGAAAAGAUGUAUUGUUUUAGCUGCCAAAGUCUUUGAAGAUAAACCACAAAAAAUAAAAGUGCAAUGUCUGAUAGGCUUUAAAAAUUA